AUGGAGGGACGUGGUGGGAAGGGCAGGGCUCUGGCGUACCCGCACAGUGCUAGCGCUCAGCACAGCCAUGAUGCCACUCCCAGGGAGGCUCUGUGGGGCAUGCCAGGCACUAAGCCUGACAAGCAGAGGCAAGGACAGGCCAGACUCACACAGUGCUCUCGUUCCAAACCCCUCCACUGUUCUUCCUCAGGAAGCUUCCUGUUGAAAGAUAAAUGUUCUGUCUGUGAUCAGACAGAUUUAUAUUUGUUUUCUUUUCCUCCCAGGCCUGCGCCAGCCCAGACAGGUCAAAGGACAGGAUUCCAAGCCGUUGAGAUGGUCUCUGGAGAAGCCUGGAAUUUCCCUGUGUCACAAGGGUGGCAGAAAGAGAGAGCACUGCAGAGUUCCUGGAGAAUCCCCUAGCAGACCCUACCAGGAAAUGGGGUUCCACAGAGGUGACUGUGGUGAAUGACUAAAGACCACUCCGAGGGCAAACUUAAAAAACUGCAAGACUAAAGAGCACUUAAAAUNNNNNNNNNNNNNNNNNNNNNNNNNNNNNNNNNNNNNNNNNNNNNNNNNNNNNNNNNNNNNNNNNNNNNNNNNNNNNNNNNNNNNNNNNNNNNNNNNNNUUAAAAAACUGCAAGACUAAAGAGCACUUAAAAUAUAUUUUUUAUAAUUUAAAUGUAAAGCUUCCUAAAAACACUGUACUCAGCUAAUAUUCUUAAGCAAAUAAAUGGAGCAAAAAGUGAAGUAAGACAAAGAUAAUUAUUAUGAUAUUACUUAUAUGUGUAAUCUAAAAAAAUAAUACAAAUAUAUAUACAAAAAAAAAAAACACAGACUCCUAAACAGAAAACAAACAUGAUUACCAAAAGGGAAAGGGAGGCAGUAAUAAGUUAGGAGUAUGGCAUUAACAGAUACAAACGUUGUUGUUUAGUCACUAAGUUGUGUCUGAUUCUUUUGUGACCCCCUGGACUAUAUAUAGCCUUCCAAGCUCCUCUGUCCUUGGGAUUUUCCAGGUAAGAAUACUGAAGUGGUUUGCUGUUUCCUUCUCCAGGGGAUCUUCUCAACCCAGGGAUCAAACCCAUAUCUCGUGCUUGGCAGUUGGGUUCUUUACCAUCUGAGCCACCAGGGAAGCCCAAACAACAAGAAUUUACUGUAUAACACAGGGAACUACAUUCAAUAUCUUAUAAUAGCCUGUAAUAGCAAAUAAUCUGGAAAAAUAUAUAUAUGUAACUGAAUCACUUUGCUUUACACUGUUAACACAAUAUUGUAAAUCAACUGUACUUCAGUUUUUCAAAAGCAAAUUUGCAAGCUUAGGCCCACUGGCGAGGGUGGGACAAGUGCCCCUACACAGGUGGCCCCCAGUGGUCUUGCUUUUGCCUUCUUGCUGUUGUUGGCUUUUUAGUUUUGUGAUCUGUCUGUUUGUCAAGCUAUGAGCACCUCAGCAGCUUCUCCACCACCUUGAAGUUACUCCUUCCAGGACUGGAGCCAAAAUGCAGUACAUGGGGAGCAGCUGAGAGGACAGUGUUGUGGAGGGGCAGGGGGGUCUGGUUCUACCCGUCCUUUACCCUGCAGAGCGUAACUUCUCUUCUGUGGAUCCCAGGCUCCUCAUCUGGAACACAGGGAGUUAGCAAAAGCGAUUCUGUAAGGCUCUAAGCUUGGUAAUUCCCAUGAAGAUAUUCUAAAGUGACCUCAAACUCAAGAGUAUCAACCCAAAUGAGAUUACACUGUGGUUACCGGUUAAGCUGCUUCACUCUUCCUAUAAAUGGGGCACUUCUGUGGGCAGGGACCAUCUUGUGGGCACUUCCCAGUGCCUGGAAGGUAGCAAGCCUGUGAUACAUGAGGGCAGACAGGCACGUGGAUGGUCCAGGUGGAAGUGAUGCACUGAUUCUCUCCAGCUGUGACCCUUUCCCUGUCUCCUCAGCUCUGUCACAAAUUCUCUGGGAGCAAAGAAUAGAGCUUUUCUUCAUGAGGUCUCCAAGGAGGGCUGAUGGUCACUCAGGAUGCACUGGUAUGCCCAGACAAGUUAUUAAAGCAUUGAAAUACUUCUCUACAGUUGCUGCCUGAGCCUCAGAGAGCCCCCACCCCCAUGUGCCCAGCAUCUCAUCCAGUGCCCCCAGCCCCCCACCUGUCUGCUAAAGGGUGACUCUUGGUCUGGAAGGGCCUCCAAGACUCCGCUCCCGCUCUGUGACUGCGUCCUUCUCGCUGGUCAGCGUAUUCCCAUGCCGUUGUUCAGCGUCCAGUGAUGGACCAGCCUGAUGCAGAUGGUGGAGAGGCAGCGGGUGCCUGGUGAGUGCUAUGAGAGCUGUCUGUUACCUGAGAAUUGAUACACAUCGGCUCUGGUCCCCCCGUGGACUGAGGGAGUUCUCAGCAGGGAAGUGGACAGUGUCUGCCGCCUAAUGUCAGGAAGACAAGUUUACAGAGUCCCUGGCUGGACAACAUAAGGUCCUCCAAGGACACCUGCUGGGGAAGGAAAAUAUAGACUUGCUGUCUUUGCCACCUCCAUCCCUUCCCAUCCAUCCAUCUGUCUACCCGUCUACUGUUUGGGGAUCACACUUUGGGCACAUCAGUUCCAAGAAAGUCAGAGAGCAGGGCAUGCAGUAUGAUGAGCUAGGCAGGAAGAUGGGCUGGGCAGUAGGAAGAGGGCAGACAGUGCCAGGAGCUGAUCUGAGCCCCCACCCUCAUACCAGCCUGGAGGCCAGACUCUCAGAGCCUGUAUUUUCUGCACAAGGGACAAAGUUAAACCUACUUUCCAGCUUGUUGAGAGGCCUAGUGAUUCUAACAAAUGAUCUGUUCUGGGCCCUUGGUUGGGGCUUCACCUCCUGAUGGGAUCUUAUUUGAAUAAAUCAGGAUGUAAAAGAUGAUAUUUCAUGCAAAGAUGGGCACAAUAAUGGACAGAAAUGAUAUGGACCUAACAGAGCAGAAAAUACUAAGAAGAUGUGGCAAGAAUACAGAGAACUGUACAAAAAAAGAUCAUGACCCAGAUAACCACAAUGGUGUGAUCAGUCACCUAGAGCCAGACA
rnacentral:lncRNA from 1 species